AACGAACGCUGGCGGCAUGCCUAACACAUGCAAGUCGAACGAGACCUUCGGGUCUAGUUGCGCACGGGUGCGUAAUGCGAUGGAACCUGCCCUUAGGUUCGGAAUAACCCCCCGUAAGGGGUGCUAAUCCCGGAUAAAGUAUUCGGACCAAAGAUUUAUUGCCUUUGGAUGGGCCCGCGUUGGAUUAGCUAGUUGGUAGGGUAAAAGCCUACCAAGGCGACGAUCCAUAGCUGGUCUGAGAGGAUGAUCAGCCACACUGGGACUGAGACACGGCCCAGACUCCUACGGGAGGCAGCAGUGGGGAAUAUUGGACAAUGGGCGAAAGCCUGAUCCAGCAAUGCCGCGUGAGUGAUGAAGUCCUUAGGGUUGUAAAGCUCUUUUACCCGGGAUGAUAAUGACAGUACCGGGAGAAUAAGCUCCGGCUAACUCCGUG
rnacentral:rRNA from 1 species